rnacentral:rRNA from 1 species
GAUAAACGCUGGCGGCGUGCUUAACACAUGCAAGUCGAACGGAGCUUUUCCUUCGGGGAAAGCUUAGUGGCGGACGGGUGAGUAACGCGUGGGUAACCUGCCCUGUACAGGGGGACAACAGCUGGAAACGGCUGCUAAUACCGCAUAAGCCCUUAACACCGCAUGGUGUAUAGGGAAAAGGAGCAAUCCGGUACAGGAUGGACCCGCGUCUGAUUAGCCAGUUGGCAGGGUAACGGCCUACCAAAGCGACGAUCAGUAGCCGAUCUGAGAGGAUGUACGGCCACAUUGGGACUGAGACACGGCCCAGACUCCUACGGGAGGCAGCAGUGGGGAAUAUUGCACAAUGGGGGAAACCCUGAUGCAGCGACGCCGCGUGAGUGAAGAAGUAUUUCGGGUAUGUAAAGCUCUAUCAGCAGGG